rnacentral:misc_RNA from 1 species
CACAUUGAGUUUGAAAGACAAGAUCUGCAUGGUCAGGACAAGACAAUUAUUUCCCUAUAACAAUUAUGUAUUGUAUGUGAAGACGCACACCUACUGGUUCAUAAGCUUGAAUACAUCAUACUUGUACUCAUACCUAACUAAGCUUAUCAAUUGAUCAUGCAAAUAAAAAUCCAAUAUUGAGAAGCACAGAAUGAUGACUAAAAAUGUGUGUGUGUGUGUGUG